rnacentral:rRNA from 1 species
AUCCGGGUUGCGGACAGUGUCUGGUGGGUAGUUUGACUGGGGCGGUCUCCUCCUAAAGAGUAACGGAGGAGCACGAAGGUUGGCUAAUCCUGGUCGGACAUCAGGAGGUUAGUGCAAUGGCAUAAGCCAGCUUGACUGCGAGCGUGACGGCGCGAGCAGGUGCGAAAGCAGGUCAUAGUGAUCCGGUGGUUCUGAAUGGAAGGGCCAUCGCUCAACGGAUAAAAGGUACUCCGGGGAUAACAGGCUGAUACCGCCCAAGAGUUCAUAUCGACGGCGGUGUUUGGCACCUCGAUGUCGGCUCAUCACAUCCUGGGGCUGAAGUAGGUCCCAAGGGUAUGGCUGUUCGCCAUUUAAAGUGGUACGCGAGCUGGGUUUAGAACGUCGUGAGACAGUUCGGUCCCUAUCUGCCGUGGGCGCUGGAGAACUGAGGGGGGCUGCUCCUAGUACGAGAGGACCGGAGUGGACGCAUCACUGGUGUUCGGGUUGUCAUGCCAAUGGCACUGCCCGGUAGCUAAAUGCGGAAGAGAUAAGUGCUGAAAGCAUCUAAGCACGAAACUUGCCCCGAGAUGAGUUCUCCCUGACUCCUUGAGAGUCCUGAAGGAACGUUGAAGACGACGACGUUGAUAGGCCGGGUGUGUAAGCGCAGCGAUGCGUUGAGCUAACCGGUACUAAUGAACCGUGAG